rnacentral:rRNA from 1 species
UACGAAGGGGGCUAGCGUUGCUCGGAAUCACUGGGCGUAAAGGGUGCGUAGGCGGGUCUUUAAGUCAGGGGGGAAAUCCUGGAGCUCAACUCCAGAACUGCCUUUGAUACUGAGGAUCUUGAGUUCGGGAGAGGUGAGUGGAACUGCGAGUGUAGAGGUGAAAUUCGUAGAUAUUCGCAAGAACACCAGUGGCGAAGGCGGCUCACUGGCCCGAUACUGACGCUGAGGCACGAAAGCGUGGGGAGCAAACAGG